UACGUAGGGCGCAAGCGUUGUCCGGAAUUAUUGGGCGUAAAGAGCUCGUAGGCGGCUUGUCACGUCGGGUGUGAAAGCCCCCGGCUCAACUGGGGAGGGUCACGCGAUACUGAUCGACUCGAAGGCAGGAGAGGGUAGUGGAAUUCCCGGUGUAGUGGUGAAAUGCGUAGAUAUCGGGAGGAACACCAGUGGCGAAGGCGACUACCUGGCCUGUUUCUUGACGCUGAGGCGCGAAAGCUAGGGGAGCAAACGGG
rnacentral:rRNA from 1 species